AAAUUGAAGAGUUUGAUCAUGGCUCAGAUUGAACGCUGGCGGCAGGCCUAACACAUGCAAGUCGAACGGUAACAGGAAGCAGCUUGCUGUUUCGCUGACGAGUGGCGGACGGGUGAGUAAUGUCUGGGAAACUGCCUGAUGGAGGGGGAUAACUACUGGAAACGGUAGCUAAUACCGCAUAACGUCGCAAGACCAAAGAGGGGGACCCUCGGGCCUCUUGCCAUCGGAUGUGCCCAGAUGGGAUUAGCUUGUUGGUGGGGUAACGGCUCACCAAGGCGACGAUCCCUAGCUGGUCUGAGAGGAUGACCAGCCACACUGGAACUGAGACACGGUCC
rnacentral:rRNA from 1 species